rnacentral:misc_RNA from 1 species
GAUGAAGAACGUAGCGAAAUGCGAUAAGUAAUGUGAAUUGCAGAAUUCAGUGAAUCAUCGAAUCUUUGAACGCACAUUGCGCCCGCCAGUAUUCUGGCGGGCAUGCCUGUUCGAGCGUCAUUACAACCCUCAGGCCCCCGGGCCUGGCGUUGGGGAUCGGCGGAGCCCCCGUGGGCACACGCCGUCCCCCAAAUACAGUGGCGGUCCCGCCGCAGCUUCCAUCGCGUAGUAGCUAACACCUCGCGACUGGAGAGCGGCGCGGCCACGCCGUAAAACACCCAACUCUUCUGAAGUUGACCUCGAAUCAGGUAGGAAUACCCGCUGAACUUAAGCAUAUCAAUAAGCGGAGGA